GUUAUACUAUUCAGUAAAAUCUUACUUGCAUUUCCCAGAGUGAGUACCGACAAUAGGAACUUUGUUUAACUGCUCCCUUUUCACCAUGUUCUUCAUCCAAUGUGUUGAUGGGCUGAGAGGCUUGAAGUCUGGUGUUUCUAGCACGUAGUUUGAGAUGUUAAUUCUGACACAUUUUGGAUCCAGGGGCAAGAAUAGUUUUUAGAAAGUGUAGUAUUUAUAGUUCUUUGUUACUUUAGAGAAAAAUCGAGCCAUAAAUAAGAACAAAAAUACAAAUAAAAUUUCACAGUCACUAUAGUGACCUGACACUAAAAGCAUAUAUAUACAAACAUUUUCACUAUUCAUCCUGGAAAUCGCUUAUGCUCCAAAACACUGAGUGAAAACACUAAAGUUCUUCAGCUCCUCCUAAUAUCAGAUGCUGGAUGCUGAAAGGCUGGCAACUUCAGUGUUACGGCCCAGUGUCUAGCUUGUUGAAGCUUAGGGUGUUCUAAAUAGAAACUAAGGACUUCAGUUAACACCUUGUUUGUGAUUAUUCAUUGGGAAGAUGUAUACUACACUCAUUUUAUAAUUACUUCUGGAUCCUCUCAUUGCAAUAUUUUGUAGUCUAGAGACAUUAAUAAAUGAGUAUAGCUUCUUUUGUGAACCUAAA
rnacentral:lncRNA from 1 species